UGCACACAUGUCAGUUCAGGGGAUAGAGGACACUGACUCUGGGCCCUGUUGACCCAAGCAGGCUUCCAUUGUGGUGGGUUGUGUCACCCCACAAUGUCACUGUUGCUGAGUCCCCAUCGCCUCUGUGUUGUGGAGCAGUUAGAGACACACAGCAGUGUCGUGAGUGGCUCUGUGUGAAGGACCGUUUUCUAGAUGAGAGGCACAUCUCAACACAGCUCACUGAUCAGACUCAGACCGUAAAGGAAAUCAGCAAGAAGUCCCCAGAAACAUCCACAGAUGGCCCUGGACAUCAGCCACAUUCUGAGAAACAUGUCAUGUUCUGGGAGGGCUAAGGCAUCAAGGCCUCAGUGCAUGGGCGCUGUCCAACCUCUGGUGCUGAAGCAGCCAAGAGACCCAAGCCUGCGUGGCUGCCUCUUAGGAUAUGACAGCACAGCCACUGGCCUCUACUGAAUCCUAUGCAACCUCAGAAGACACCCAGGAGUGAUGCCAUCACGUGGUGCAAGAGUUCUGAGGGACCGCAAUCCUGAAGACAUUGAAUGGCUGUGUUCCUGCUCAUUGCUGGAGGUACUGUCAGGGGCCCUGUCCUCAACCCCGGGUCUGACCCUUGCAGAUCAGGCAGGACAUUCUGGAGGAAUCAUGCCCUUGGAAGGAUCCCUGAGGAGUGACUGGUGGGUAUUGGUGGAUAAAUACCCCAGCUCCCUUGCUUUGGGUGGGAUGACUCUGAGGCACAUGUUCUGUGCUGUCUCUGCAGAUGUACCUGGCAGGGCUGAGUCCUGGCUGCCACAGGGGAAACUUUCUUGA
rnacentral:lncRNA from 1 species